CUUAGUUUUUGAGACAGGGUAUCUCCCUGAAUCUAGAGGUUGCCAAUUUGGCUAUCACAUUGACUCAUAUUCCUGGUGUGUUCAAUAUUUCUCCAGCGUUGUGGUUACAGGAAAGAAAGUGACCUGAGAGUGGCAUCCGAACAAGCUCAAAGCAGAAGCCAUAGGUACCCACACCAGCAGGGAAACCUUGUUUAUUUUCUCACAACAUUUUAAAAUUCAUGCUGUACACAUUUACUUCGGAUUGGACAGCCCUCAUUUAAACUUUUUUCAAUGAUUGCACCACAUUUUACUUUGUGGAUAAUAAAUGUGUUACCCUUAA